UUAUGAAGCUAAGCUUCUGGACACACAUCUGAUCUGGUAGUUAUUUGUAUGAGUUCACAAGACAUUCAACAUGAAGCUUUUAGAAUACACCCCGUUCGACUGUGUAAAUGUGUUCGUUGAUCAACUAAACCUUGGUGAAUGUACAAUCAUGGGGAGCCUUGAAGCCUUCUCAUGCAAAGCAUGCAGGAAAUGAUUGUUGGCUUUCAAUAAGCCUUGAACAUGAGGCAGAUGAAGGCCGUCGAAGAUCACAAGCACAGCUUGCUAUUGUACAGGACUUCAACACAUAAGAUCACAAACUCAUGAUGUUGGCAAUGGUUAUGUGGACUCCAUCUGAAGAGGGAAUUCGAUUACAAUUUCAUUUGAGGCAUAGUUGGUACAAAUUUCUUCCUUUUCGUUGGUACUUCAUUACUGCUGGCAUAGUCCAGAAUCCCAUCGCGUGGGUAGAUAGUUCACCCAUGUUCGGAAAUAAUCCGAAUUCCCGACACAAUUAUACGGCAAAAUACACCAAAAUAUUUCCAAGUAAUCUUGUUUCACAACGGUAAAGUCAUGCGUAUUUUUUGCAAUACCAAUCUGAUGCCUAUAUUGAGUAUAGAUCUCCACGCCAGUAUUUUGUUCCAAUUAUACCUGGUGUAUUUCUGUCCACUUUCUGCAUAGGAUUCGUAGGGACUAGGGAGGUUCAUUUUAACAUCGUUUUGCAUGACCUAAAUAUAGUACAGGCCCAGGUCAAGGUUCUUGCCAAGUCAAAUAAAUUUGUUGAUAGCAAGAAUAGUAAGUCGAGAAUCUGUGAUUUUUCUGGACAUCUGCAGUUCUUAUGGUGGUCUCCGGACCGACUGUUGUUUCUCCUGCCCUGGCCCUAUUUGUGCAUCUAUGUGUUUUUUAUCAAGUCUUGAUGUCUCAAUGUAAGAAUAAUAAGUCUGCACGGUUACUUUUGUUUGGUACAAAAGAAAUGAUGUAAUGAUCCACUUUCACAUGUUUGUCACAACUUAUUAGAACUUGAUGCGUGUUCAUGUAUAGAAGAAAAGUUCAUUUUGGGACCAUACUAUGACAUUUCUAUGUCAUGGCACAUUCAUUUUCAGUUCUCUGGAGCACACACAUAUAUGUAUAUAUAUCAUGCUUAACCUUCUAUUUAGAUUUCUAUUAGAGUGUCCCCUUUGGAGGACAGUACUUUUUAUGAGUAUAGAACAUUGAAAUUCUUGGAACUCGAAUAGUUUGGCAAAAUGCGGCAAGAUUUCUGAUCUCCACAUUGCACAAGCACGACACACAAACAUUACAUUGCGAUUCUCAUUGAAUAUCACACAUGCUUCCACUACAUACGCAUCCCUUCUCUAAAAGUGAAGUACUGGUGUUGGGUGCCCCUCCUGAGGAAGCUAGACGGUUGGCUGCUCUCUUAAACUGCUCUCUUGGCUCCUUUCCUUUCAAGCACCUUGGGAUGCCCAUCUCCCCCCUCAAACUGCUAUCUAAGGAUUUCAACUUUUCUGUAUCUAAGGUGGGUAAUAGAGUUAUGCCUUGGAGGGGUGGAUAUAACUCCUCUGCUGGGAGGGUGUGUCUUAUUAACGCCUGCCUAUCCUCCCUUCCGAUGUUCCUUAUGGGUUUUGAUCGCCUCCCUGUUGGUAUCCAUGCUGGCUUCGACAAACAUAGGAGUGGCUUCUACUGGAAUACUGCGGAUAAUAAGAAAAGAUACAGACUUGUUAAGUGGAAAUUGAUGUAUAGACCUAACAAGGUUGGGGGUUUGGGGAUCCUCAAUACCUCUGUCAUGAACGAAUGUCUGAUUCUAAAAUGGUGGUGGCGCAUUCUUACUUCUCCUCCGGAUGCUCUCUGGCUUCGUAUCCUAAAAGCCAAAUACUUCCCAAAUCCCCCCCCCCCCCUUGUUCUCUCAUUUGAGUAGUACCCCUGUGUCCCAGUUUUGGCGUCAGUUACUUAUUGUUCGCGUCAAAUUACCGUUGGUAACGGCGAGUCUGUGAGAUUCUGGCUUGACUGGUGGGUUGGGGAUGGCCCAUUAGCUGUUUCCUUUCCUGUUCUUUUUUCUUUUGCCGCGUCGCCUUCCGUCUCCAUCGCCGAGCUCGCGGCGAGAGGUUGGGACCUUGGUUUCCGCCGGGUCCUAUCUCCUGAAGAGUUGGAGGAUUGGCAGCGCCUUGUUGCCAUCCUCCCUGUGCUUUCGGAGGCUCAGGAUGUGGUCUCUUGGCCUCAUUCUGCCUCUGCUCGUUUUUCUGUUAAGUCGUGUUACCGCGUUCUCUCUGGUGGUCCGGUGUCUUCUAAGUUCAAGCCCAUCUGGGUGGCUAGGGUGCCACCCAAGAUUAAAAUCUUCAUGUGGCAGGCCAUCAGAGGCCGCUUGCCGCCGGCGGACCAAAUUAAGAAGAGGCAGGGCCCUGGAUCUGUGUUUUGUGCCCUAUGUGGCCAUCUUGAGGACUCUUGCCAUAUCCUGUUCCGCUGCCCCCUGGCCCAAUUGUUCUAGAGCUUCCUUAGGGACUGCUUGGGUGUUUCGUGGGCCCCAGCUAGCUUCUUAGCUCAAACCGCUUGUAUCCUCCCUUUCUGGGAAAGCUAGAAGGUUGUUCUGGUUUGGUUUUCCUGCAAUGUGCUGGACCCAAUGGACGACCAGAAAUAAGUUUACUAUCAAACAGGUGUUCCCCAGCAAGGCUGCUGACUGUGUUUUAAAACUUUCGAUCUUUUUGCAGCAGUGGAAAUCUCUGAUUAAAGAAGGCGACAGGGCGGCUGUGGAGCUCCUGGUUUCUCGUGUGCGUGCCUCUGCAGCUUCCAUUAUGGGUGAUAAUCGAGCCUCGGCAAAUGGAGCUAGAUCUGAGUGAUUAUCUGGCUACGGGCUGGCGCUGCUCUGCGCACGCUAUAGGCCCGGGGGUGUUUGUGGUGCGUUUUCCUAAUCCUCGAGCUGUUGCACAGAUCUGCUAUGUGGGGAAAGUGACUCUCAGAACUAGUGGGGCUGUUAUUCACGCCACGCAGUGGUCGUCUACUAUUGGGGCAAAGGGUGUGAUGGAAGUAGCUUGGGUGAGAAUCAGCAAUGUCCCUCUUGACAAGAGAAGUGAGAGAAACCUCGCGUAUGUUGCAUCUUUAGUGGGGGUUCCGCUGGAAAUUGACGCUGCGACGCUGCACCGCCCAUCCUCUGCUCGGGUGCGGUUGGGAUGCAGAAAUGUCAAUGAAAUUCCUGUGGUUGCUGAAGCUGUUCUGGGUGGGCACUUCUACAAUUUCUUUUAUGAAGUGGAUCAGGUUCUGGUGAGAGACCCUGAUAGAGAGAAAAAUACAAUUCAUAUGCCUUCUGAUUGGGAGAAGAAGUCUACCAUUGGGUCCACUCCUCGGUCGAAUCCUGGAGCUAUGUAGGGUAGUUUACCUACUGGGCUUGGGGGAAAAUCUUCUCCCAUUCCCCAGGGGGAAAAACUGACCCCAUUCGGGAUUCGCGGGAGUGUGGAAUCUGAUGAGUCAAUGCACACUACUUUGCUACUGGAAACCAUGGCUCAGGAGAUGGAGCAGGGUGAAAAAAUUGUGGAGGUGGAUACUAUAAAUGACGCAAUUCUGAAAAUUGUCACUAAUUACACGGUCAAGUCACCCGAGACUGGAAUGGACACUGAGGUGAUUCCUACACCUCCUCUAGUUACUGAGAGAAUCUACGUUUCAGCCUACGUAAUGUGCAGAACAAGAUGGAGAGAGUGGAGGAAAAAGCCAUGGCAGCAGCUAAGAAGAGAGACAUUGAAGGGCUGAUGAGCGGAGCUGAUCGCGAGGCGAUGGAGCGCGGAGCCAAGAUGCUGAAGACCUACGCGUCGAACCUGAUGUGUAUCUGUGCGGCACCGGGGAACGCAAUGAAGGGGUGAUUCAGGUGCGGGGGAGAGAUGCAGAGAAGACUCCCCAAGCUGCCGAUCUUUUGUUCCUGUGCGAUAUUGGUGUGGAUUGUGCGUUAUGUGCAAAACUUUGUUGUUCCUUUGCGGCUCCUGCGCGAGUUUGAGCCUCAUGUGGCUGUUGUAGCCUUAGACUUUGGUUGCUUUUGGGUUGGUGAUGCUGGUUCUGAGGGUGUCACUAGGUUUUCGCCCCAUGGUAGACUGCUCGAUGACGAGUGUCUACCGUGGGUUUCCCAGUGAUGCGUUGAACUCGCAUUUCUCCUUUCUGAUUUCCUUCCAGUCCGACAAACUAUUGUAUUUCCGUUAUAAAAGUAAUGAAAAGGGGUUAUGCCCGGUUCAAGAAAAAGAUAAUCGAGCCUCGGCACAAUAGUUGAUGUUCUCCUUGGUGUCUGGUGCCCCUUUAGAAGUUCGCUGUCCUGGCCUGCAUGCCAUGCU